rnacentral:rRNA from 1 species
GAUGAACGCUGGCGGCGUGCUUAACACAUGCAAGUCGAACGGUGAAGGCGGAGCUUGCUCUGCUGGAUCAGUGGCGAACGGGUGAGUAACACGUGAGCAAUCUGCCCCUGACUCUGGGAUAAGCGCUGGAAACGGCGUCUAAUACUGGAUACGAGCUGCGAAGGCAUCUUCAGCAGCUGGAAAGAAUUUCGGUCAGGGAUGAGCUCGCGGCCUAUCAGCUUGUUGGUGAGGUAAUGGCUCACCAAGGCGUCGACGGGUAGCCGGCCUGAGAGGGUGACCGGCCACACGGGGACUGAGACACGGCCCAGACUCCUACGGGAGGCAGCAGUGGGGAAUAUUGCACAAUGGGCGAAAGCCUGAUGCAGCAACGCCGCGUGGGGGACGACGGCCUUCGGGUUGUAAACCUCUUUUAGCAGGGAAGAAGCGAAAGUGACGGUACCUGCAGAAAAAGCGCCGGCUAACUACGUG